rnacentral:lncRNA from 1 species
UAGUUCCACAGCAAGAUGAAAUGAUCCAUCUGAUGGUGAUUAAUUAGAUAAUAAAGUUUGUGAGGACACUGAUAAUGACUUAUGACAAGUGAUAAUUGCCGUGAAAUUAACUAAAUGAUGAACAGGCUUUGCCACAGAAAUUAACAGCUGGUGGCAAAUUAUGCAAGUAUAAAAGGCCCGUUAAAUUAUUUGGUAUCAUCAUCACAUUAAUUAACACAACAAUUCGUGUAUAGUUUUAUGGCCGGAAGAAUACAACAUGUAUAAAAACUUAUAAUUAACACGUUUACUUAUUUAGAAUGAACCAUGUUUGAAGGUUGGAUCCUGAAACCUAUAACAAAAAAAUGGAAGGAGUCGGUUAUAUGUCUUUGAUAAUUGAAUGAACACGAGUUUGAAAGUGAAUAAUAUCGAUCUAUGCGGCGGACAACACAAAAUCUGCGUACCACACCACCCAUAAGCAGUAUAGUUAUAUAUAUAAAGUUGUAGUUUUAUUUAUAGGGGUAGGUUUGAAAAGGGAAACGAUAACAUAAUCACCACAAUGCCGUACAAAUAGGAAAAAGGAUUCCUUGACCUCUAUGAUGAAUUUAGAAAUCGUAAAGCUUGUAUUAUAAUAUAGCUUCAUUCAUGACUGGUUAUGAUGAACUCUUCAGAUUUGUCUGCAACCUCUUUUGUUUUUUUUUUUUUUUUUUAAGAGAUAAUAUUAAUCGAAUGACAAGCUUAAUUACAAAGUCCACAAAACAUAAAGCCAGAAAAUACUAAUAAUAAAGAGCAUGAAUCUCUAACUCGAUCAAACUAGAAAAAAUAAGAAUAGACCACCAACUAGAAAGAGUAAGAGGUGACCACCAACUCGCAUCUUUUUUGUUAGGUGUUGAACUAUUGAUGAUGAUUGAUUUUUAUUGUAUUUAUUUUGUCAAAGAUUUCAUCAACUUAUUCUUUGAUUAAUGAUCAUUCAUCAUGCUUGUCUAGCUAGGUCUCGUCAAACCUCGCUUUGUUAGAUUAAGGACUUGAAUUAACCUGCUUCAAACCUUAAUUAAGUAGUUAAUGCAGAAUUGUUGAUCUAUAUAUCUAGACAGGAGCAGCAACUAUAUAGGAUAUACGUACUUAUGGAUCGUAUUUACUCUUGACAUAAAGAUUUUUUUCCAAAAUUUGUAAGAUCAUUCCUCGUAAUAAGAAGUACGAAAUCAUAUUUAAUGCUUGAUCGGUUCUUAAAAGAAUUCAUUGUGUCCUAGAUAUUUCAAUAAAUAGUGAUCAAUACGUACUUGUUUUACACGUACGAACCCAAACUUUGUUAUCAUUUUCGAGCACUAUAUAAACUCUUGAGA